CCUGAUGUAUGGACUUUUUUACCAGGUUUUUACACUGCACGAGCUGGCCAACUUGAGGGGAACAGUAGUGGGCUGCCCUUACCCUGUCCUUGACCUAGAAAGCUGGAUUUUUUGAGAGAUCAACAGGUGUUAGAGAUCUUCAAGAGGAGAAGGACACAAUAAUGCAGCCUCAGUGGUACAUGGCGCUCCAGCGCCUGCUUUCCAGGUCUCUCCACCAGUUGCUUUCCACGUCCCUUCACCCACUGCAGUCCAGGUCCCUCCACAUGCCAAGAUAAGGUCUAGGUCACUGCACUGGCUACUGCCCAGGUCCCCCAGCAGUCAAGGUCUUUCCAGUGGCUGCUGUGCAGGUCCCACCACCGUCUCUUCAGUGGCUGCUGUGCAGGUCCCACCACCGUAUGCGGUCAUGGUCCCUGUACAGGCUGUAGUCCAGGUUCUUCCUUCCACUGCGGUUCAGGUACCUCCAACAGCUGAGAACCAGGUCUCUGCAGCAGCUGCGGUUUAAAUACUCCACCCGCUGUGGUCCACUGCGGUUAACCGUUCGCUUUAAAAUCUUCCAUAAAUGUCUUUUAUUGUAUAGUGUGCAGUAAAAAUAAUCUGUUCGUAUU